UACGGGGGGAGCAAGCGUUGUUCGGAUUUACUGGGCGUAAAGGGCGCGUAGGCGGCCUGCUAAGUCGGACGUGAAAUCCCCCGGCUCAACCGGGGAACUGCGUCCGAUACUGGUGGGCUCGAAUCCGGGAGAGGGAUGUGGAAUUCCUGGUGUAGCGGUGAAAUGCGCAGAUAUCAGGAAGAACACCCGUGGCGAAGGCGGCUCUCUGGAACGCAACUGACGCUGAGACGCGAAAGCGUGGGGAGCAAACAGG
rnacentral:rRNA from 1 species